AAGUCGUAACAAGGUUUCCGUAGGUGAACCUGCGGAAGGAUCAUUAUCGAUUCGUCCCGAGCUGUGCGCCUUCGGGCUGCACGCUCGCUUCUCUUCUCUCACCCCCGUGCACUUUCGCGGGCGCCCUUCGCGGGGUUGCCCUGCUCACCCACACCUUUAUGUAUGUCCUGGAUGUCUUUUUUAUUAUUAUACAACUUUCGGCAACGGAUCUCUUGGCUCUC
rnacentral:misc_RNA from 1 species